AUUGAACGCUGGCGGCAGGCCUAACACAUGCAAGUCGAACGAGUGGCGGACGGGUGAGUAAUGUCUGGGAAACUGCCUGAUGGAGGGGGAUAACUACUGGAAACGGUAGCUAAUACCGCAUACCGUCGGAGGUGCCCGGAUGGGAUUGGCUAGUAGGUGGGGUAAAGGCUCACCUAGGCGAAGAUCCCUAGCUGGCCUGAGCGGAUGACCGGCCACACUGGAACUGAGACACGGCCCAGACUCCCACGGGAGGCAGCAGUGGGGAAUCUUGCACAAUGGGCGCAAGUCUGACCGAGCAAUGCCGCGUGAAUGAAGAAGGCUUUCGGGUUGUAAAGUACUUUCAGCGGGGAGGCGUUAUCCGACGAGGAAGCCCCGGCUAACUCCGUGCCAGCAGCCGCGGUAAUUC
rnacentral:rRNA from 1 species